GAUGAACGCUGGCGGCGUGCCUAAUACAUGCAAGUCGAGCGAACAGACGAGGAGCUUGCUCCUCUGACGUUAGCGGCGGACGGGUGAGUAACACGUGGAUAACCUACCUAUAAGACUGGGAUAACUUCGGGAAACCGGAGCUAAUACCGGAUAAUAUAUUGAACCGCAUGGCUCAAUAGCGAAAGACGGUUUUGCUGUCACUUAUAGAUGGAUCCGCGCCGCAUUAGCUAGUUGGUAAGGUAACGGCUUAACAAGGCAACGAUGUGUAGCCGACCUGAAGGGGUGAUCGGCCACACUAGAACAGAGACUCAGUCCAGACUCCUACGGGAGGCAGCGGUAGGGAAUCUUCCGCAAUGGGCGAGAGCCUGACGGAGCAACGUCGCGUGAGUGAUGAAGGUCUUCGGAUCGUAAAACUCUGUUAUUAGGGAAGAACAAAUGUGUAAGUAACUGUGCACAUCAUGACGGUACCUAAUCAGAAAGCCACGGCUAACUACGUG
rnacentral:rRNA from 1 species